GACGAACCACACGAACGUUAUUCGGAAUUACUGGGCUUAAAGGGUGCGUAGGCGGCGCAGAAAGUUGGGUGUGAAAUCCCUCGGCUCAACCGAGGAACUGCGCCCAAAACUACUGUGCUUGAGGAAGAUAGAGGUAAGCGGAACUUACGGUGGAGCGGUGAAAUGCGUUGAUAUCGUAAGGAACACCUGUGGCGAAAGCGGCUUAACUGGGUCUUUUCUGACGCUGAUGGCACGAAAGCCAGGGGAGCAAACGGGAGUUA
rnacentral:rRNA from 1 species